rnacentral:rRNA from 1 species
CACGUAGGGUGCGAGCGUUGUCCGGAAUUAUUGGGCGUAAAGAGCUCGUAGGCGGUGUGUCGCGUCGGCCGUGAAAACCUGCAGCUUAACUGUGGGCGUGCGGUCGAUACGGGCAUCACUGGAGUUCGGCAGGGGGAGACUGGAAUUCCUGGUGUAGCGGUGGAAUGCGCAGAUAUCAGGAGGAACACCGGUGGCGAAGGCGGGUCUCUGGGCAGUAACUGACGCUGAGGAGCGAAAGUGUGGGG